UUUUAUGUAGUUUAAAAAACAUUUUAUUUUCAUUAAAAAAUUGAUUACUAUAAUCCAUAAAUA
rnacentral:tRNA from 1 species